UUGUCAGCCGCCGCGGUAAUACGUAGGGUGCAAGCGGGAAUCAGAAGGACUGGGCGUAAAGCGUGCGCAGGCGGUUUUGUAAGACAGAGGUGAAAUCCCCGGGCUCAACCUGGGAACUGCCUUUGUGACUGCAAGGCUGGAGUGCGGCAGAGGGGGAUGGAAUUCCGCGUGUAGCAGUGAAAUGCGUAGAUAUGCGGAGGAACACCGAUGGCGAAGGCAAUCCCCUGGGCCUGCACUGACGCUCAUGCACGAAAGCGUGGGGAGCAAACAGGAUUAGAUACCCUGGUAGUCCACGCCCUAAACGAUGUCAACUGGUUGUUGGGAAUUCAUUUUCUCAGUAACGAAGCUAACGCGUGAAGUUGACCGCCUGGGGAGUACGGCCGCAAGGUUAAAACUUAAAGGAAUUGACGG
rnacentral:rRNA from 1 species